AGCAUGUGUAACAUGACCUGUGCUUCAGUGUUCUUUUGUGAUCAAAAAUUCCUUACUUUUAGUUUUUUAUCUAUGGUAGAACCACCCAGAGCAGGGGUCCUCAACUCCCAGGCCACAGACUCAUACCAGUCCACGGACUAUUAUGAACCACACCACACAGGAGGAGGUGAGCACUAGGCAAGCCAAGGAAGCUUCACCUGUACUUACAGCCACACGCCAUGGCUCAUAUUACAGCCUGAACUCUGCCUCCACUCAGAUCAGUGAUAACAUUAGAAACUCAUUGGAGCACGAACCCUGUUGUGAACUGCCUAUCCGAAGGAUCUAGGUUGUGUGCUUCGUAUGAGAAUCUAAUGCCAGAUGAUCUAUCAUUGUCUCACUUUGCCCCCAGAUAAGACCAUCUAGUUGCAGAAAAAUAAGCUCAGAGCUUCCACUGAUUCUACAUUAUGGAUAUGUGCCGCCGAAGCAAGCACAAAGCCCUACUUUUACACAUGCCUAGUGAUGCUUCAUGGACAAGGCUUGGCUCUGUUGAGUCCAACUAACCUACCUGAGAUUCUGAGAUUUCUCUUCAAUGGCUUCCUGUGAGCUAGAGUUUGAAAAUAUCUUAAAAUCUUGAGCUAGAGAUGGAAGUAGCUUGGACGAUUUUCAUUAUCAUGUAAAUCGGGUCACUCAAGGGGCCAACCACAGCUGGGAGCCACUGCUCAGGGGAAGGUUCAUAUGGGACUUUCUACUGCCCAAGGUUCUAUACAGGAUAUAAAGGUGCCUCACAGUAUAGAUCUGGUAGCAAAGAAGAAGAAACAAACACUGAUCUCUUUCUGCCACCCCUCUGACCCUUUGGAACUCCUCUGACCCUUUAGAACAAGCCUACCUAAUAUCUGCUAGAGAAAAGACCAACAACGGCCUCAAAGGAUCUCUUACCAUGAAGGUCUCAGCUAAUUCUUGGCUAAGAUGUGGGUUCCACAUUAGGUUCUGAAUAUGGGGGGAAGGGUCAAUUUGCUCAUUUUGUGUGUGGAUAAAGUCAGGAUGCCCAGGGGCCAGAGCAGGGGGCUGCUGCUUUGGGAACAAUGGCUGAGCAUAUAACCAUAGGUAUGGGAACAAAAAACAUCAAAGUCACUGUAUCAAUUGCCAUGAAGACUCGAGGGACCUGAAUCUACCGAUUCAUCUUAAGGCAGCAGGACCAGUUUGAGUGGCAACAAUGCAGCAGCAGAAUCAAUGGAAACAACAGAAUGAUUGCAAUGUCCUUUUUUUUCUCCUCCUUCUGACUUGAUAAAAGGGACCGUCUUCCUUGGAUUUAGUGAACCCCUUUGGUUCCUGAAAAAUUCAAGGAGUAUCUAGGACAUAGUCCCCAGAAGACAGUACAAGACUUUCUGAUAAACUGGACAUUUCAAGACCCAAAUAACUAAUCAGAAAAAUCAAAGAUGUGAUACUAUUUUUUAUCCCAUGCAUAGGUGCUACACUUGGAUCAAAUGAACAAUGUUGGGAUCUCUAUGGAUAAAGGUCUUAAAAGUCCUGAGAUAAAGAAUCCUGCACCCACUGGUACUUCUAACUUGUCUUGUUUUUUGUCUGAUUUCUGGCUGAUGCAGGGGACUAACUCACUGCCACGCGAAAACUACCUGAACUGAACUAUGACAUCUCACCUGAUAUGUAAGAUGUAACUGUUAUAAUUAUUUUAAACCUCAAUUUAGCAUUAACUAGCCUUUUAAUGUAAACACUUACACAUUAUGACGACUAGAAACAGCAUACUCUCUGGCCGUCUGUCCAGAUAGAUCUUGAGAAGAUACAUCAAUGUUUUGCUCAAGUAGAAGGCUGACUAUACUUGCCGAUCCACAACAUACAGCAAGUAUGAGAACAGUUCUAAAAUGACAGAGAUAGGAACAGUAAUAAAGUUAUUUUAAAAGCUAAUUUGAUAUACUUUACCAAUUUAACAUCUUGCCUGUCCGUGCAGAAUCAAACAUUUACAUGCACUAAAAGACAUAAGCAUCUUCAGUGCUCAAGUGUUCAUCUUUGUAAAAUACCACCAAGGUUGAAAGGAAGGGACAAAAAAAAAAAAAACCCUCUUAUCUCAGUGGGGUAUUGCAUAGCAGAAGCUACUAAUUUAAAGUCCUUUGAUGGACAAGAAACAAUAUUAGGGCCACUUAUCUGAAAUGAACAAAGAUUUAAGUGAAGAUUUCAUCACAGCUUCCCUAGACUGAUAUGCUGUAAUAGAAAAUCAGCUAGGGGGUAAAAUAAAUAAGAGCUCUCUGCAUGCUGAAAGCAAGUAAGAUUAAUAAUAAUGGUAAGAAUAGUAGUCACAGGAGUUUCAGUUAAUGAUGCCAAUAAGCAUGUGCUAGGCACUGAAUUAAAUGCCACAUAUAUCUUUCUUAUGCACAGCAAACUUUGAAGGAUAUAUUCUCCUACUUUUCAUAUAUGACAACAUAUUUGGUGGUAAAUAACGUUCCCAAGGUCACACACCUAGCAAGUAAGAAAGUUAGGAAUUAAAACCAGUAUUGUGUGAAUCUAAAGCCUAACUUUUUUCUCUUUAUCACACCACUACGGCUUGUCUUCAUUAAAGGAAAAGUGUAUCCACUUAAAA
rnacentral:lncRNA from 10 species